CGUCUUAAGGCCAUUGGAGAGCAAUUCAGAUACAGAAACCGUUGAAAUCACAGUAACAAAGUUGCUAUUUAAAUCAUACUAUGAGAUUGUCAGAAAGAAUGUUGAAGAUCUUGUCCCCAAAGCAAUUAUGCACUUCCUGAAGUGAUAUCAAAAUGGUUGGAAAUUGAAGUGAUUGAUGAAGUUUCAGAUUAGUUAGGACCACAUAAGCAGAAAAUGUCAUGUUGUCUCCGCUACUUUAAGUUUUUGGGUAUAGAUGAGUGUCAAGCCUCCAUCGUGGUUUGUUUCACAAAAGCUCCUUGUUUUUGGAUGUUCUCUCACUAGCUAAUGAUAAUGAUAUUACGAGAUAUUUUCUAGAU